AGAUUGAACGCUGGCGGCAGGCCUAACACAUGCAAGUCGAGCGGCAGCACGGGUACUUGUACCUGGUGGCGAGCGGCGGACGGGUGAGUAAUGCCUAGGAAUCUGCCUGAUAGUGGGGGAUAACGUUCGGAAACGGACGCUAAUACCGCAUACGUCCUACGGGAGAAAGUGGGGGAUCUUCGGACCUCACGCUAUCAGAUGAGCCUAGGUCGAUUAGCUAGUUGGAGGGUAAAGCCUACCAAGGCUACGAUCCGUAACUGGUCUGAGAGGAUGAAUCAGUCACACUGGAACUGAGACACGGUCCAGACUCCGUACGGGAGCAGCAGUGGGAAUAGUGGACAAUGGGACGAAAGCCUGACUCCAGCCAUGCCGCGUAGUGUGAAGAAGGUCGUUCGGAUUGUAAAG
rnacentral:rRNA from 1 species